rnacentral:rRNA from 1 species
UACGUAGGGUGCGAGCGUUAAUCGGAAUUACUGGGCGUAAAGCGUGCGCAGGCGGUUUUGUAAGCCGGAUGUGAAAUCCCCGGGCUUAACCUGGGAAUGGCAUUCGGGACUGCAAGGCUGGAGUGCGGCAGAGGAGACUGGAAUUCCUGGUGUAGCAGUGAAAUGCGUAGAUAUCAGGAGGAACACCGAUGGCGAAGGCAGGUCUCUGGGCUGACACUGACGCUCAGGCACGAAAGCGUGGGGAGCAAACAGG